rnacentral:rRNA from 1 species
AUUGAACGCUGGCGGCAUGCCUUACACAUACAAGUCGAACGGCAGCGGGGGAGAAGCUUGCUUUUCCUGCCGGCGAGUGGCGAACGGGUGAGUAAUACAUCGGAACGUGCCCUGUAGUGGGGGAUAACUAGUCGAAAGAUUAGCUAAUACCGCAUACGACCUGAGGGUGAAAGUGGGGGACCGCAAGGCCUCAUGCUAUAGGAGCGGCCGAUGUCUGAUUAGCUAGUUGGUGGGGUAAAGGCCUACCAAGGCGACGAUCAGUAGCUGGUCUGAGAGGAGGAUCAGCCACACUGGGACUGGGACACGGCCCAGACUCCUACGGGAGGCAGCAGUGGGGAAUUUUGGAAAAUGGGCGAAAGCCUGAUCCAGCAAUGCCGCGUGUGUGAAGAAGGCCUUCGGGUUGUAAAGCACUUUUGUCCGGAAAGAAAUGGCUCUGGUUAAUACCUGGGGUCGAUGACGGUACCGGAAGAAUAAGGACCGGCUAACUACGUGCCAGCCGCCGCCGUAA